UCGAACGCGUGGCCAGCAGGAGGGGGUAUAAGGGGGGUGGAAGCUGUAAACGGAAGAACUAGGCGGAAAGAGAAUGUAGGCUGGUUUGUAAGGUGGAAGUGAAAUCCUAUGGCGUAACCAUAGAACUGCUUCCAAAACUACUUACCUAGAAUAUGGGAGAGGUAGAUGGAAUUUCUGGUGUAGGGGUAAAAUCCGUAGAGAUCAGAAGGAAUACCGAUUGCGAAGGCGAUCUACUGGAACAUUAUUGACGCUCAGAUGCGAAAGCGUGGGGAGCAAACAGGAUUAGAUACCCUUGUAGUC
rnacentral:rRNA from 1 species